rnacentral:rRNA from 1 species
AUAUCAAUAAGCGGAGGAAAAGAAACCAACCGGGAUUGCCUCAGUAACGGCGAGUGAAGCGGCAAAAGCUCAAAUUUGAAAUCUGGCAUCUUCGAUGUCCGAGUUGUAAUUUGAAGAAAGUAACUUUGGGUUUGGCUCUUGUGUAUGUCCCUUGGAAUAGGGUGUAAUAAAGGGUGAGAACCCCGUAUCGCGAGAUUACCAUUCCUAUGUAAAGUGCUUUCGAAGAGUCGAGCUGUUUGGGAUUGCAGCUCUAAGUGGGUGGUAAACUCCAUCUAAAGCUAAAUAUUGGCGAGAGACCGAUAGCGCACAAGUA